AAAGAAUUAGUUAAAUAUAUAACAUUAGAAUGUCAAACUGAAAUUAUUAAUUAAUUAAUAUUCUUUA
rnacentral:tRNA from 1 species